CCUACGGGUGGCAGCAGUGAGGAAUAUUGGUCAAUGGACGAGAGUCUGAACCAGCCAAGUCGCGUGAAGGAUGACUGCCCUAUGGGUUGUAAACUUCUUUUGUAAGGGAGUAAAACGAGGCACGUGUGCCUUUUUGCAUGUACUUUAUGAAUAAGGAUCGGCUAACUCCGUGCCAGCAGCCGCGGUAAUACGGAGGAUCCGAGCGUUAUCCGGAUUUAUUGGGUUUAAAGGGUGCGUAGGUGGUCUGUUAAGUCAGUUGUGAAAGUUUGAGGCUCAACCGGAGAAUUGCAAUUGAUACUGUCAGUCUUGAGUACAGUUGAGGUAAGCGGAAUUCGUGGUGUAGCGGUGAAAUGCUUAGAUAUCACGCAGAACCCCGAUUGCGAAGGCAGCUUACUAAACUGUGACUGACAUUGAUGCUCGAAAGUGUGGGGAUCAAACAGGAUUAGAUACCCCAGUAGUC
rnacentral:rRNA from 1 species